rnacentral:rRNA from 1 species
UACGGAGGGUGCGAGCGUUGUCCGGAAUCAUUGGGCGUAAAGGGCGCGUAGGUGGCCCCUCAAGCGUGCGGUGAAAGUCAGGGGCUCAACCCCUGAUCGGCCGUGCGAACUGGGGAGCUUGAGCACUGUAGAGGCAGGCGGAAUUCCGGGUGUAGCGGUGGAAUGCGUGAGAGACGUCGAAGAACACCGGUGGCGAAGGCGGCCUGCUGGGCAGUUUUGCUGACACUGAGGCGCGACAGCGUGGGGGAGCAAACAGG